rnacentral:rRNA from 1 species
CCCCACUGCUAUCGGGAUGGGACUAAGACAUGCUAGUCGAGCGUCUCCAAGCUAUGGAAGAGACGCGGCACACAGCUCAGUAACACGUGGCUAACCUGCCCUUGGGACAAGGACAACUCCGGGAAACUGGGGCUAAUCCCUGAUAAGUGAGAACUCCUGGAAUGGAUUCUCGCUCAAAGGACGUUUAGACCAUGCUUCUAAGCGUCGCCCAAGGAGGGGGCCGCGACCGAUCAGGUUGUUGGUGAGGUAACGGCUCACCAAGCCUUUAACCGGUACGGGCCGUGAGAGCGGAAGCCCGGAGAUGGGCACUGAGACAAGGGCCCAGGUCCUACGGGGCGCAGCAGUCGCGAAAACUCCGCAAUACACGAAAGUGUGACGGGGCCAUCCCGAGUGCCAUCCGCUGAGGAUGGCUUUUCCCCAGUGUAUAAAGCUGGGGGAAUAAGGAGAGGGCAAGCCUGGUGUCAGCCGCCGCGGUAAUACCAGCUCUCCGAGUGGUGGGGAUGCUUAUUGGGCCUAAAGCAUUCGUAGCCUGCUUGGCAAGUCCUCCGUUAAAUCCAACGAUUCAAUCGUUGGGCUGCGGGGGAUACUGUCCGGCUAGGGGGCGGGAGAGGCCGACGGUAUCCUCGGGGUAGGGGUGAAAUCCUAUAAUCCCGGGAGGACCACCAGUGGCGAAGGCUGUCGGCUAGAACGCGCUCGACGGUGAGGGAUGAAAGCUGGGGGAGCGAACCGGAUUAGAUACCCGGGUAGUCCCAGCUGUAAACGAUGCAGGCUAGGUGUUGGCGCGGCUACGUGCCGCUCCAGUGCCGCAGGGAAGCCGUUAAGCCUGCCGCCUGGGAAGUACGGCCGCAAGGCUGAAACUUAAAGGAAUUGGCGGGGGAGCACCACAAGGUGUGAAGCUUGCGGUUU